AAUUAAAAUUAAACGCUGAAGAUAAUUUAGCACUCGCUGCCUAAUGGCGGCGCGUCGGCCUUGAAGCACCUGCGCUUUGAGUAACCGGCGUCAUCCUCGCAGGAAACGACACGGGCAAAGCUUUGAGCCCGCGGGCGUAGCAUGAAGCUACCGGGAUGUACCGCGUGUCUGCUUGCGAUACAUUGAGGGAAACGCGAAAGCACAAUAACAGACUGUGAUGGGAGAAACGAGAGCGGAUGGGUUUUCGGACAGGGGUUCGACUCCCCUCAGGUCCACGA
rnacentral:tmRNA from 1 species